rnacentral:rRNA from 1 species
GACGAACGCUGGCGGCGUGCCUAAUACAUGCAAGUAGAACGCUGAAGGAGGAGCUUGCUCUUCUGGAUGAGUUGCGAACGGGCGAGUAACGCGUAGGUAACCUGCCUGGUAGCGGGGGAUAACUAUUGGAAACGAUAGCUAAUACCGCAUAAGAGUAGAUGUUGCAUGACAUUUGCUUAAAAGGUGCAAUUGCAUCACUACCAGAUGGACCUGCGUUGUAUUAGCUAGUUGGUGGGGUAACGGCUCACCAAGGCGACGAUACAUAGCCGACCUGAGAGGGUGAUCGGCCACACUGGGACUGAGACACGGCCCAGACUCCUACGGGAGGCAGCAGUAGGGAAUCUUCGGCAAUGGACGGAAGUCUGACCGAGCAACGCCGCGUGAGUGAAGAAGGUUUUCGGAUCGUAAAGCUCUGUUGUAAGAGAAGAACGAGUGUGAGAGUGGAAAGUUCACACUGUGGCGGUAUCUUACCAGAAAGGGACGGCUAACUACGUG